rnacentral:rRNA from 1 species
AGAACGAACGCUGGCGGCAUGCCUAAUACAUGCAAGUCGAACGAACACUUCGGUGUUAGUGGCGCACGGGUGCGUAACGCGUGGGAAUCUGCCCUUGGGUUCGGAAUAACAGUUGGAAACGACUGCUAAUACCGGAUGAUGACGAAAGUCCAAAGAUUUAUCGCCCAGGGAUGAGCCCGCGUAGGAUUAGCUAGUUGGUGAGGUAAAGGCUCACCAAGGCGACGAUCCUUAGCUGGUCUGAGAGGAUGAUCAGCCACACUGGGACUGGAGACACGGCCCAGACCUCCGUACGGGGAGGCAGCAGUAGGGAA